AUGGAGGUGUACACAGUGACUAUCAUUUGAAGAGCGAAUAUGAGAAGUUAAAAAUUUAUUGAAACAGCGAGAUGCUAGAAGGAGCGAACACAAGUGUUUGAGAUGUUAUGAAAAUUAUCUAAACGAGGCAAAAGGUUCAGACAUUUCUAAACUGAUGCUAAAAUGAUUUUGAAUUUAUAAAAUAGCAGCUAGUUUAUUAGAAUGCUUGAACAUUUGUAAAAUCAUUUUUUAACAAGGGCUAUAAAUUUUUCGUGUAUAUAAAACUUGAAGAAUGUAAACAGUGAAAAAAACCAAUCAAUCGGUUGGUUUUUUGAAAUCAAUAUCUGAUCUACUGUAUGUAAAUAAAGAAAGGACAUCGAUAAAAUCCAACGGAGGAAUUCAAGUUCAAUAAAAAGAA